ensembl:lncRNA
CCUUGGAAGUUGAAGCACACGAUUAUGGUAAGGGGCGUUACAUUUCCAACACACGCUUGAGGUUUUUGGCCAAUCACAACACAAUGGGUCAGCUGACCAAUCAAAGCGCUCUGGACUGUUCGGAAGGAGGGGCUUUGGAGAAACCGGAACUCAAUCAGAGCGUUUCAGACACACUGGGAAUAGAGAACAACAUGAUUGCCGGCUGACGGGACAAAUUACUAUUGUUGGAGUCUACGAAGAAGAAAUGCAAAAUGAAGUUCCAGUUCUCCUCGUCGAGCCCUCUUCAGGUCACCCCAGAGAUCCUGGACUCUGGCUGGGCCGUUUGAAGAACUUUAACUUGUUUUGGCGAAGCCAUUCGGUUGUUGAUCUGGAGGAUUGCUUUUGGUCAGCGUCACGCUGGAAGGUCUCCCCAUCAAACAGCAGCUACGAAGGUGAAGGCAAAAAAUGUGAAAGCAGCUAAUCGCAUUUCUUCAAACUGUUGCUCAUGCUGCAUGACUGGGAGGCAUAACACACUUAAAGGAAAACGCUAUCUGCCCCUUCAGCAUACAUGGCCUUAGAGAUCUCCACUAUUGGCGAGUGUCGCUGGUGAGAGAGAGCACAGCCAAUUUUUGCUCUCUGGACUCCCGGCCAUGGAUGGCAUUGGCACAGAUUUAAACUUGCGAUCUCCGGAACAUAGGGGUCACAGGGAACCUGGAGCCUAUCCCUAGGAGCAUUGGGCACAAGAUGGGGUACACCCUGGACAGGGUGCCAGUCCAUUGCAGGGCACAAUCACAUACACACUCACAAACCCAUUCAUACACUACAGACAUUUUAGACACACCAAUCAGCCUACCAUGCAUGUCUUUGGACUGGGGGAGGAAACCAGAGUACCCAGAGGAAACCCCCGCAGCACGGGGAGAACACGCAAACUCCACACACACAGGGCCACGGUGGGACUCGAACCCUGGAGCUGUGAGGUGAACAUGCUAACCACUACGCCACCGU